rnacentral:lncRNA from 1 species
CACAAAUGAUCAAAAUUAACACAUUAGCGUGGAUCACUGUUGAUCAGUUAUAAUAUAAGAAUGGAUCACGAUUGAUCAAUUAAAAACUUUAGCAUGGAUCACGAUUGAUCAAUUAUAACAUUAGCAUGGAUCAAGAAUGAUCAAUUAGAACCAUCUGUACAAAAAGAGCACUUUAUCAUUACUGUCCAAUACUGACAUUGACUUUAAAAAUACUGG